AGCCCAGUGGCAUCACGUCCGGCUUCAAUGCCAGAGACUGUGGGUUCAAAUCCGG
rnacentral:tRNA from 11 species